AGAGUUUGAUCCUGGCUCAGAUUGAACGCUGGCGGCACGCCUUACACAUGCAAGUCGAACGCGAAAGCGGGGCAACCCGCAAGUAGAGUGGCGAACGGGUGAGUAAUACAUCGGAACAUAUCCAGUAGCGAGGGAUAACCUGUCGAAAGAUAGGCUAAUACCGCAUACGAUCUACGGAUGAAAGCAGGGGACCGCAAGGCCUUGCACUAUUGGAGUGGCCGAUGUCGGAUUAGCUAGUUGGUGAGGUAAAGGCUUACCAAGGCGACGAUCCGUAGCUGGUCUGAGAGGACGAUCAGCCACACUGGAACUGAGACACGGUCCAGACUCCUACGGGAGGCAGCAGUGGGGAAUUUUGGACAAUGGGCGCAAGCCUGAUCCAGCCAUGCCGCGUGAGUGAAGAAGGCCUUCGGGUUGUAAAGCUCUUUCGGUGAAGACGAAACGGUUAGCGCUAAUAACGCUGACUAAUGACGGUACUCACAGAAGAAGCACCGGCUAACUACGUGCCAGCAGCCGCGGUAAUACGUAGGGUGCAGGCGUUAAUCGGAAUUACUGGGCGUAAAGCGUGCGCAGGCGGUUUGCUAAGACAGGUGUGAAAUCCCCGAGCUUAACUUGGGAAUUGCGCUUGUAACUGGCAAGCUAGAGUGUGGCAGAGGGGGGUGGAAUUCCACGUGUAGCAGUGAAAUGCGUAGAGAUGUGGAGGAACACCGAUGGCGAAGGCAGCCCCCUGGGUCAACACUGACGCUCAGGCACGAAAGCGUGGGGAGCAAACAGGAUUAGAUACCCUGGUAGUCC
rnacentral:rRNA from 1 species